CGCCUGGGGAGUGCGGCCGCAAGGUUAAAACUCAAAUGAAUUGACGGGGGCCCGCACAAGCGGUGGAGCAUGUGGUUUAAUUCGAUGCAACGCGAAGAACCUUACCUACUCUUGACAUCCUGCGAAUUCGGUAGAGAUACCUUAGUGCCUUCGGGAACGCAGAGACAGGUGCUGCAUGGCUGUCGUCAGCUCGUGUUGUGAAAUGUUGGGUUAAGUCCCGUAACGAGCGCAACCCUUGUCCUUAUUUGCCAGCGCGUAAUGGCGGGAACUCUAAGGAGACUGCCGGUGACAAACCGGAGGAAGGUGGGGACGACGUCAAGUCAUCAUGGCCCUUACGAGUAGGGCUACACACGUGCUACAAUGGUCGGUACAAAGGGUUGCCAACUCGCGAGAGUGAGCCAAUCCCGAAAAGCCGAUCUCAGUCCGGAUCGGAGUCUGCAACUCGACUCCGUGAAGUCGGAAUUGCUAGUAAUCGUGGAUCGGAAUGCCACGGUGAAUACGUUCCCGGGCCUUGUAUACACCGCCCGUCACACCAUGGGAGUGGACUGCACCAGAAGUGGUUAGCCUAACGCAAGAGGGCGAUCACCACGGUGUGGUUCAUGACUGGGGUGAAGUCGUAACAAGGUAACCGUA
rnacentral:rRNA from 1 species